AAAGCCGAGUCACGGGUGGGAGUGCCGGGAGAGCGGGGCCGGUUGGGGGCGGGGUCGCUUCCUCUUGUCUCGACCCGCCGGACGGGGUGCUGCCGCUCGCUGCGGGUUCAUUUCUAGGAUGGUGCGCGCUCCUCGCUGCCCUCCUUUGCAUUUUGGGUCUGCUUAGGUGGCUAUGCAAGGCAAAGGCCUUGUGUUGCCCACCAGGCCUAUGGGAAGGCGCAGAGCUGGGCUUGCUGCUGGAGAAGGUACCCCAUAGCUUUCUUUGCUGCAGGACACAUUUAAUUCAGUCUCAACCAGCACCACAGAUGCAGAAGCUGGCACUAGGAACUAAAAGAGUAGGUGUUCUCUGCAACCUUUGUUCAAAGUCACAGAAAUUGGAAAUGGUCAAGGCUUGAGGACAUCCUCUUACGCCUUUAUAGCAGAAGGGGAAAAUGUGUAGGCACGGUUCUAGGACUUUACAAGUGUUGCCAAGCUAGUUAUGCUCUUCAGAUUCUAUAUUGGAAAUUAAUUCCUAUAUUAGCCUGUACAACAAGAAAAACUGGUAAAAUAUCAGUGUAACUGUCAAAUAGUAUCAUCUGAUGAUUCAAUUUUUAUAUUACUCUUUCUGUAUAAAACUCAUCUAGAACCGUGGUAACAGAAUAGCUAUCUUCAUAAAAUAAAAUUGUUUUUGAAUGCAUUGGCAAUGUUUCAGUUUGCUAUUUUAGUUAUAUAUGUGACCUGAAAAGCUGAUAAUGGAAAAUUUGUCAUCUUGA